rnacentral:rRNA from 1 species
GGGGAAUAUUGGACAAUGGGCGAAAGCCUGAUCCAGCAAUGCCGCGUGAGUGAUGAAGGCCUUAGGGUUGUAAAGCUCUUUUACCCGGGAAGAUAAUGACUGUACCGGGAGAAUAAGCCCCGGCUAACUCCGUGCCAGCAGCCGCGGUAAUACGGAGGGGGCUAGCGUUGUUCGGAAUUACUGGGCGUAAAGCGCACGUAGGCGGCUUUGUAAGUUAGAGGUGAAAGCCUGGAGCUCAACUCCAGAACUGCCUUUAAGACUGCAUCGCUUGAACGUCGGAGAGGUGAGUGGAAUUCCGAGUGUAGAGGUGAAAUUCGUAGAUAUUCGGAAGAACACCAGUGGCGAAGGCGGCUCACUGGACGACUGUUGACGCUGAGGUGCGAAAGCGUGGGGAGCAAAC